AACUUUCAACAACGGAUCUCUUGGUUCUGGCAUCGAUGAAGAACGCAGCGAAAUGCGAUAAGUAGUGUGAAUUGCAGAAUUCAGUGAAUCAUCGAAUCUUUGAACGCACAUUG
rnacentral:rRNA from 1 species